GUCCCAAUAUUUAUUCAAUGAUAGGUUCGUCGGAAAAGCACAGAUAAUCUAAAAAAAUAUAUAUAAUUAUGUUUCAAAAUAACUGUCAACCAGUACGGUUUCCCAAGUAAACAAACGAUAAUCUUUGCCUUAAUCGCAAUUAGACAUCACUUGUCUUUAAAUAAAAUUUAUUCUCAGUUUCCUUUUUAUAUCAUUGAAAGUUCAAUUACAAGAACG
rnacentral:lncRNA from 1 species